AUUGAACGCUGGCGGCAUGCCUUACACAUGCAAGUCGAACGGUAACAGGUCUUCGGAUGCUGACGAGUGGCGAACGGGUGAGUAAUACAUCGGAACGUGCCUAGUAGUGGGGGAUAACUACUCGAAAGAGUGGCUAAUACCGCAUGAGAUCUACGGAUGAAAGCAGGGGAUCGCAAGACCUUGUGCUACUAGAGCGGCCGAUGGCAGAUUAGGUAGUUGGUGGGAUAAAAGCUUACCAAGCCGACGAUCUGUAGCUGGUCUGAGAGGACGAUCAGCCACACUGGGACUGAGUCACGGCCCAGACUCCGACGGGAGGAAGCAGUGGGGAAUUUUGGACAAUGGGCGCAAGCCUGAUCCAGCAAUGCCGCGUGCAGGAUGAAGGCCUUCGGGUUGUAAACUGCUUUUGUACGGAACGAAAAGCCCCGGGUUAAUACCCUGGGGUCAUGACGGUACCGUAAGAAUAAGCACCGGCUAACUACGUGCCAGCCGCCGCAGUAA
rnacentral:rRNA from 1 species